AGGCUGUAAAUGAGUACUUCAUUAUUUGACGGUCAUUGUCUGACAAUAUGGAGUCGAUGGUAUGAAUGUCUUUUGAAGAAAUUAGAUCAUGAGAGGAAUAGCUAAAAGACUUCAUUCCAAAAUUGGACAUUGCUGAUUGCGAUUAUAAAUUUAACACGUUUGGUAACGCAUAUUUCAUGUUGUCUCAACUCAUUCUCGAGAGUUCGUAAAUACUCUCAGCAGCAACGAUGCGGGAUUUAAUUUGAGUAAUCACGAAAAGUGUUUGAUGUUUGGUUCGCACGGAGUGUAAAGGAGUUUAUUUUUCCAUUUGUUGUAUUUUCUCCACCUCUCGUACCUGACAAGCUGACUUCGAUCUCACUGUACGAAUUUUCCUCCGCUAUAGGUGAACUCAUUUUGGACAUCAACUAUUUGUAACAAACCAACAUGGCGAAGUGGAAGUUGUGCCGUGAUCAAGGUGGGUGGGACAUUCAUUGGACGUGGGUUCACAUAGACACUGGGGCUGUAAUCCAUUGAUAUAUGCCGUAACCUCAAAAAGGAAAAAGCUGUCACGUACCAUGGGGUAAAGAGAACGUCACGAAUUAAUAUCAAAUAUGUAGGACACCGCCUUGCUACAAGGUCGGCACCCUCCACCAUACCUCGCCAAAUUGCUUGGACAAAACACAUUGCCAUAUAUUGCCAAUUUUAUCUCAUCCGAUCAGAUCAUGAAGUUUGUCGGCAAUAAUUAAAUGCUAGUUCUUCAAACUUUGAUAAUUUUAUUUCAUCCUGCACCCAUAUAUCGUUCACCUCAUUUAAGGGAUGAUGUUUUUACUUCCUUAUUUAUAUCAACAUUUCAAUACUUUCUUGACUGAUCAUUCAGAUGUUGUACAUACAUAUUUCACUAUAUUUCCUAUUAUUUGGGCCAGGUUCAUCCUCCCUGACAUUUAUUUGAGUUACAAUUAUCAAAAUACUUCUCUCAGUGUACCAUACAUGUACAGUCUAUGGCUUCGGGCAGUAAGAGACUAUAAUUUUAUUUUCUCUGCAAGUAAUCCUGCGAAACAAUCGCACUUGCCAAAGGAAAUUUCAAUUGGAAACUCGUAAUCACUAUAACUAUUUUAUGUACAGGACAAUGUAUUACGUACAGACUCAAAAGAUAAUCAUGAAAUAAGAAUGCUUGAAGUUAAGUUGCUUUUGGUUUAUUCCUGUGCUGUAAAAUAAAUAAUGUUUAUGUAAUAAA